AGUGACUUAGGAUAGUAUAAGACCAAGGGCCUUCAAAGCCCUAAGAAAGGGUGAGAUCCCCUUAGUCUCUG
rnacentral:tRNA from 1 species